UACGUAGGGUGCAAGCGUUUAUCCGGAAUUAUUGGGCGUAAAGAGCUCGUAGGCGGUUUGUCGCGUCUGCUGUGAAAACUGGAGGCUCAACCUCCAGCCUGCAGUGGGUACGGGCAGACUAGAGUGCGGUAGGGGAGAUUGGAAUUCCUGGUGUAGCGGUGGAAUGCGCAGAUAUCAGGAGGAACACCGAUGGCGAAGGCAGAUCUCUGGGCCGUAACUGACGCUGAGGAGCGAAAGCUGGGGAGCGAACAGG
rnacentral:rRNA from 1 species